rnacentral:tRNA from 1 species
GGGAUGUGGCGGAAUCGGCAGACGCAUCGGACUUAAAAUCCGGUGAUGGCAACAUCGUGUGGGUUCAAGUCCCAUCGUCCCC